rnacentral:antisense_RNA from 1 species
CGGAACGUGUGCGCCCACUCCCCCGGCUCGCCGAGCAGGGCGUCGGCGCCGAAGAACCCGCCGCCGUCGCGGACGCCGACCCGGCCGGCGGCGUCGUAGGCGCCGGGGACGCUCUCCUCGACCUUGCCGUGCGCGAUCAGGUGGACCGCGUCGAGGGGCCCGCCCGACUCCGCGAUCAGCUCGCCGGGCGCGUACUCGCGCUGCUCGAACCGCGCGGCGAGACCGUCCAGGACCGCGGGGUCGGACAGGCCGCGCAGCGGCGGCAGCUCGGCCAGUUCGGGCGGGACGACCCGGAUCGCCGCGCCGUCGUUGACGAACGUCACGAGCCCGUCGCCGAGCCGGUAGGUGAGGCGGCGGUUCACCCGGUAGGCGCCGCCGCCGGCCUGCACCCACGGCAGCUGCGACAGCAGCCACCGCGGGGUGGUGCCCUGCGUCUGCGGGACGGUCUUGGUGGUGGAGGCGAGAUUGCGUGCGGCGCGGGUGGAGAGGGCCAGGCGUUCUUCCGUCACG